rnacentral:rRNA from 1 species
CGCGGGAUUAGAGUUUGAUCAUGGCUCAGAUUGAACGCUGGCGGCAGGCCUAACACAUGCAAGUCGAGCGGAAACGAGAAUAGCUUGCUAUUCGGCGUCGAGCGGCGGACGGGUGAGUAAUGCCUGGGAAAUUGCCCUGAUGUGGGGGAUAACCAUUGGAAACGAUGGCUAAUACCGCAUAAUAGCUUCGGCUUAAAGAGGGGGACCUUCGGGCCUCUCGCUUCAGGAUAUGCCCAGGUGGGAUUAGCUAGUUGGUGAGGUAAAGGCUCACCAAGGCGACGAUCCCUAGCUGGUCUGAGAGGAUGAUCAGCCACACUGGAACUGAGACACGGUCCAGACUCCUACGGGAGGCAGCAGUGGGGAAUAUUGCACAAUGGGCGCAAGCCUGAUGCAGCCAUGCCGCGCGUAUGAAGAAGGCCUUCGGGUUGUAAAGUACUUUCAGCAGUGAGGAAGGGUGUGUAGUUAAUAGCUGCAUACUUUGACGUUAGCUGCAGAAGAAGCACCGGCUAACUCCGUGCCAGCAGCCGCGGUAAUACGGAGGGUGCGAGCGUUAAUCGGAAUUACUGGGCGUAAAGCGCAUGCAGGUGGUUUGUUAAGUCAGAUGUGAAAGCCCGGGGCUCAACCUCGGAACCGCAUUUGAAACUGGCAGGCUAGAGUACUGU